UAGGACGCGCCCAGGGUGACACUGCUGGGUUAUGACAAACAUGGGCUAGAGCAGAGGUCUCCUGACUCUCCGCCCUGUGUCCAUCCUAGUUCUAGUAUCUCGCAGAGGUGACAGUAAAGGAAGUGAUGCCAUGGCCUCCCACCUCACUUCACACUGUUUUUUAAGUUUCUGACGCAGCUGAUCAGGAAAUUCUUCCUUGUUUCUAACCUGGUCCCCAAGCUUUGUAUGAGCCAGGUUUUCUCUAUAAUUUUCUCGUGAAGUACAGGGCAGAAGCCGAAGUCUUUCAGAGAGUCCCCUUCCCACUGUCAAUUUUAUUGUGUGCACUAAGUAGCCAGAGUGUGCAGCUUUUCCAACCCUUUAUUUCCCAAAUUGGGCAGCUUCUGAGUCUGAAAACCAAGGGGACCCCUUUCCCCACUCCAUCACCCCUUACCUCAAUCCCAUUUCACCUAAAUCAGUGAGCAAUAGGCAAUUGCUCACAGAUAGAGACAGUUCUUAACUGAAAUCCAUUAAGUCCCCCUAUGAUACAAUACCUGUGCAUAGGCAGGGAAGGAGCAGAGAAGGUUCUUGAAGGAAUGGGCUAACUCAACUCUCUAAUAAAGGCUGCUGGUCAGGAGGGGGAGCCCUAAUAGCACAGCCAUUCUGCUGGAUUCCACCCCUGGGGCAGCUGUCCCACCAGAACAGCUUAUGCAGAUGCAGAUUAUGGCUCUGACCUGCAGCUGUGCCACACUAUCUCCCAUCAAGUGCCCUUGAAC
rnacentral:lncRNA from 1 species